UGUAAAUGUGCUUGCCGUUUCUAUUAUUUUUUCCAUCACUGUACAUUGAGCGCGAUUCGUAUGUAAGCAAUUGUAAGUAUGUAUUUACAUAUGCGACGAUAGAAAGUAGGAGAGAUUGCGAAGGAAAUUACCAAUUAGGUACGGUGGGCAGUGCAAACAACGAACAACUAACAGAAUUUACUAUUGACUAUUGAUUACUCUCUAACGUUAGGCUAGCAAACUAAACAGUGUUAUGCUGUGUAUAACAUCUACGCAGGUGACGAAUCGUGGAUAUAUAAAUAUGAGCCCGAACAAAUUAGUUAUCGACGGUAUGGAUGUUUAAAAGCGACCCAAAUGCAACAACCAUUUCAAAUCGCCUGUUUUGUCGGAAGCUAGUCAACAGCAGCUGGUCAUAUCGCAAAUUUUCGAUAGAGAAAAGCAGGAAGAUAAAUUCUGAGUGGUAAAUAACCAUUUUUUGGCCGGAAAUUAUAGAAGAAUCGAGAGUUGUUGAGCAUCCAAAAUAUAGCAUCAAGAGGUCAUCUGCCUUGCUGACUUGUCCUGACAUCUAACAGGAUAUUUUUAUUCCAAGCUAUACAAAAAAUAGAGUUUUCAACGUUUUUUACGUCGCACAGUGCCUCGUUUUCCUGUUGCAAAAUUAAUAUUAAUAUUAAUAGCUUAGAUCCAUAUAUUUUCAAAACUUCAAAUAAAUUUAAAAAAAUAUUAAAGUAGGUGUGGCGCUGGAAUGGUCGUAGUUAAUGGUCGAACUCAAAUCGUGUUUUUUUACCCUAAAAAUAUAAAUAAAAUUAUACAUAGACAAACAACAUUUUUUUGCAUGUAACAAAUCUUAAUUUUGUAUAAAAAAAAUGUCUUAAAGAAAAUUAUUUACGUUGCAUUUCUUGAGCGGACAGCACGUAAAGUUAACGUACAAACUAGGGCAAAUAAAAACCUUGAAGAACUGUUCUGCAAUCAAUAGAGAUGCAAUCGAAGCGUUUUUAAAAACUGUGCAAGAUAUCCUUCCCAGCAAAUGGCUAACACCUACAGUUCAUAAGAAAAGCGACAAAACGAAGAUUUUUUUAAAAUUAGUAUAUUCGUGUAAAAUGGUUUCCCCAUUUGAAAAUAAGGAAAAUUGCUUUGUUAAAUAUUAAAAUAUUAAAUUAAAUGCAUAUAUGUAUAUUUCUAGUAAGGGCGGUGGCUUGGCUAAUCCUAAAAUUUACGUAUUUGUACCUUAUGAAUGUGAUUCUUAAUUGUUAGCUAGUUUGAAUUUGAAACAAAGAAUAUAUUGAGCAACA